rnacentral:rRNA from 1 species
UUGACGGUACCCUACUAGAAAGGAGCCGCUAACUUCGUGCCAGAAGCGUCGGUAAUACGGGGGCUCCAAGCGUUAUCCGGUGUUAUUGGGCGUAAAGAGUCGUGUAGGUGGUUGGGUAAGUUAUCUUUCAAAUAUCUUUGCUUAACAAAGAGGAGGGGGAUAAUACUGCUCGACUAGAAUUUUCUCAAGGGAGAUCGGAACUGAGGGAGGAGUAGUGAAAUGCGUUGAUACCCUCGGGAACACCAGUGGCGUAGGCGGAUCUCUGGGAGAAGAUUGACACUGAGACACGAAAGCUAGGGGAGCGAAGCAGAUUAGAGACCUGCGUAGUCCUAGCCGUAAACGCAUGCUUGCUAGCUGCAUGAAUCUACCUUCGGGUGGUAUCGUGUGGCGAAGGUAACCCGUUAAGCAAGCCGCCUGGAAAGUACGGCCGCAAGGCUGAAAUUCAAAGGAAUUGGCGGGGAGGCACACAACCAGUGGAACAUGUGGUUUAAUUCGAGACUAACCGAAGAACCUCACCAGGGUUUGACAUGUAGCUGCACGUCUUAAGAAAUUAAGACUCUCUUGAAGGUGCUACACAGGUGCUGCAUGGCUGUCGUCAGCUCGUUCCGUGAGGAGUGCCCUUAAGUGGGACAACGAGCGCAACCCCUAUUACAUGUUAGAAAUGUCAUGUAAGACUGCCUUGCCAUUUGGCGGGGAGGAAGGAGGGGCAGACGUCAAGUCCGCAUGGUCCUUAUGCCCUGGGCUACACACAUGUUACAAUGAGUACGGCAAUGAGUCUGUCGCGAGCACGUAAGUGUAAGCUAAUCUCUUAAAUGUACUCUCAGUGGGGAUUGAGGUCUGCAACUCGACCUCAUGAACACGGAAUUGGUAGUCAUCGCGGGUCAGCUAUACCGCGGUGAAUACGUUCUUGCCUCUUGCACACACCGCCCGUCAAACCAGCAAAGU